rnacentral:rRNA from 1 species
AUUGAACGCUGGCGGCAUGCCUAACACAUGCAAGUCGAACGGCAGCACAGCAGUAGCAAUACUGUGGGUGGCGAGUGGCGGACGGGUGAGGAAUACGUCGGAAUCUGCCCAGUCGUGGGGGAUAACUAGCCGAAAGGUUAGCUAAUACCGCAUACGACCGAGAGGUGAAAGCGGGGGGACCGCAAGGCCUCGCGCGAUUGGAUGAGCCGACGUCGGAUUAGUUAGUUGGCGGGUAAAGGCCCACCAAGGCGACGAUCCGUAGCUGGUCUGAGAGGAUGAUCAGCCACACUGGAACUGAGACACGGUCCAGACUCCUACGGGAGGCAGCAGUGGGGAAUAUUGGACAAUGGGCGCAAGCCUGAUCCAGCAAUGCCGCGUGUGUGAAGAAGGCCUCGGUUGUAAG